UACGUAGGGAGCAAGCGUUGUUCGGAUUUACUGGGCGUAAAGGGCGCGUAGGCGGCAGAUUAAGUCAGCUGUGGAAUCUCCGAGCUUAACUCGGAACUGUCAGCUGAUACUGUUUUGCUAGAGUGCGGAAGGGGCAAUCGGAAUUCUUGGUGUAGCGGUGAAAUGCGUAGAUAUCAAGAGGAACACCUGAGGUGAAGACGGGUUGCUGGGCCGACACUGACGCUGAGUGCGCGAAAGCCAGGGGAGCAAACGGG
rnacentral:rRNA from 1 species